rnacentral:lncRNA from 1 species
UCUUACUGUCUUAAAAACUCAGAUUCUUUCAUUGAAAUGGCAUUAAGUAAACUUAAGACAAUGCUACAUGGAUUAGAGACUACCUAUAGUGCACCCAACUUGCAGGAUGUCAUUUAGUAUGCGUGUAUUCUUAACCCAACUUGCAGCCUAAUGGCUUUUUAAAGUCAAAACUUCCAUAGUCCUUUUGCAGUAUGAUUUUUGAGGCAUAUGGAGACAGAAUCUGAGCCAAUAUAUUUUAUUCCAAAUGAGGCUCUUUGAUUUCUCACAUGCUUUUGAAAUGUGAUGUUUGUCUACCCUGGAAAACUCUGCCGUUUCAACUCUCUGGAAAGCUAGGAAAGGUUUUGAAUAAUUGUAUCAUGGGUAGUUUUUGGAUUCCACUACUUGUGGGCUACUUCUGCUGGAUAAAUGUGUUGCCUACAUACAGUAUUCUCUUAACCCUGCUUCUCAAAAUCCUAUAUUUUCUGUUGUCAAGUCAAGAAUUACAAAGCCACACUUUGGCAUGGAGAAUACUACUCUACAGUUACUCAUCCUUAAUGACCUGUAGUACAGAAAAGUGAAAACAUUGUGGAGGAGAUAAAUUACCAAAAUAGAAGAUAAGCUGAAAAGGCAAUGGAAAAUAUAUCAUACAUAUCAAAGUUGCUCAUUUAUGCUAUUUUGCCAUAACAAUGCAUACAACUGAAGCACUUCCCUUCUCCAUUGGAGUUUUGUCUCUAGAGGUAUUAAAUAUUAAUCUUAUAAAGAAAAGAAAGCAAAAAAAAAAAACCCUGAACACAUGUUAAUAGGUUAGGGUUUUAAGAGCAAAUCACAAAAGCAGAAUAAGUACUUGGAGGAAAAAAACAGGAAGAGAGAGAAAGAGGGAGAGAGAGAGAGAGGUGGGGUAAAUUGUGGACCCUCCUUUUAAAGAAACAAAAUUUUCCACAGAGUUGCAUUAAUACUUAAAUUGGACUAACUCCAUGUGAAUCCUCGUAAGAAAUACUAUUUCCUUUCAAUUAACUCAUCUAUCCUACAAUUACAUGUCAUGAAAUCUAAAGGCAAAUAUGUUUACCCAGUAAGGGAAUAACAUUCGAGGCAAAAGUGAUGUCACAAACAGAUGGGAAUUCCAAGUAAUACUGAGUCAUGGUUCUAGGGGAAUAAAACAAUUACUUUACAGCUCAGUGCAAUGUAGUAUUUAAAGAAAAGGUAGGCAUUUUGAUUCCCAAGUAAACUAAAGAGAAGAAAACUGAGGCUUAAAGAGGGCCUGUUUGCGUGUUCCCAACUGCUAUGUGGCCAAGAAUAAGUAAGUUUAUGUAACGUUCCAAAGAAACUGCUCAAAACCGUGGCUCAUUUUAACUAAGAUAUGAAUAGAAGGCAGAAAUGAAUUCACAAACACUUCUUUCACAUGCACUGCAAAAUAUAACUUUUUACUCCUCCAGGCCAAAAUGGUCUUAACCAUUGAAGUAAUUAUAGCUCACAACUAUAAUUUAAAGUUAGAUCUGGUUGAUUCUAAAUUCACACAGGAAAAUAAUUCACUCAUCUUACUGGAACAUUGACGUAAAUAACUUUAUAAAACCCAUACAGUUUCAGCAAUCCUAGAAAGUGUUGUGAAUCCAAAUAGAAACAGUUGAUAAAUUAAUAAGACAGUUGAUAAAAUAAUUUAGUAAGACAACAAUAAUUGUCUACCAUUUAUUGGUUAAAGUAUUAUGCUUGACACUUUAUAAAUAUUACCUAUUUAAUCGUUACAGCAAUCUUUAAUAUUGGUAUCCUUAUUUACAAAGAAAAUGAGUGCAGAAAGGACAAGUAGUUUUCGUGAAACCACUUGGAAGUGGAGGAGAAGGGUUUUGAACUCCCAUCAUCUCAAGCUCAUGCUUUGCCAUCUCACCACAGUGAAAUGAUGGAAAACUCAAGUCUGCAAACCUUAAAUUUUCAAUCAAAGGGAGGAAACCUUGGGCAAAUGAAGAGGUCAUGGAUAUGAUAUGAAAAUAUUUUAUGAUUUUGCAUGUGAGAAGCUACUGCAUAGAUGAAUUCAACUGCAGGAUCCCUUUUAAAAAAUAUGUAUCUUCAAGAUUGAGUGUGAGCCUUCACAAACUCCUCCUUGUAUCUUAAGUCUGCUGGAGUACUGGCCUGACUCCACUCACUCACUGUGUACUUCGUUUGAAACUAACAAACAAUACAGUGACUGUCAGUAGAUGUUGCCUCCUCAGUCUACAGAGCCAACAAAAAUUAUGGAAAAUGUCAUCAGAUUUCCAUGACAACAUCACGCUGUAUAAUCAACAUGGUUCGAACUAGUCACAUCUUUGCACAACUGGACACAUCAAAAUAAUUGUAUUAUGUCAUCAGUGAUGCCACCAGACAGAGCACCAGCUCCCUUCCUACACUGGAUAGCAGACGUUCAAAUAACGCAAUGUACUGAAGAACUAAUACAGUUUAGACACCAGAGGUCUCACAAGUUAAACCCUCUAUAUAAUACAGAGCCCUCCUGAGAAUCAACUUAAGGUGAAAUGUUUUAAAGAAGAGAUAAUGGUGGUGGUGUGGUGGUACAUGUUGAGCAACCAGCUCUCUGGAGCAACUGAAAAAUACUUCUAAUCUGGCAAAUUCAGCGAGAAGACUGAGUUCCUUAAUUUCUGUCAGCACCAGUGAAAAACUGUCCUAAACUGACCCUGGCUUACAGAUGUACCACUGGAUCUUGGACUAAAUGGUAAUGGUAAUCAUUCUGAGCUUCCAUUAAAAUUCUAAGCCUUCUUCCAUUUUAUUUCUUAUUAACAGCUAUUAUUGUUGUUGUUGUUGUUGUUGUUGUUGUUGUUGUUGUUAUUAUAGCAAAGAAGAACAGCAGAAUGGUUGGUGGAGAUUCCUAUGCUUUCGACCCAUGGCGGGGUCACUAAGUCAGGUGAAUCACCUCCCACCCCUAAAGAUUCCCACCCAGUUAUGCCUUCUAAUGUGCUGUUCACAGUUUAUCAACUGAUUCUGAAAUUCUGAGACUUAACAGUUUUAAACUGA